rnacentral:rRNA from 1 species
GACGAACGCUGGCGGCGUGCUUAACACAUGCAAGUCGAACGGACAGACGAGGCGUUUGUUGCUUGCACGAGUGGCGAACGGGUGAGUAACACGUGAGUAACCUGCCCCUGACUGUGGGGUAUCUCCUGGAAACAGCGGCUAAUACCGGAUAGGAGAUACUGCUGCAUGGUGGUGGUUAGUAAAUUUCGGCGGUACGGGAUGGACUCGCGGCUUAUCGGCUUGUUGGUGUGGUAGGGGCUGACCAAGGGUGCGACGGGUAGCCGGCCUGGGAGGUGGACCGGGCACAAUGCGACUGCGAGACGCCGCAGACUCGUACGGGACGCAGCAGGCGGGAGUCUUGCGCAACGGGGGCACGCCUGAUGCAGCGACGCUGCGUGCGGGAUGACGGCUUUCGGGUGAUAAACCACUUUCUACGGAGAUGAAGAGGUAGUGACGGUACCUGGUCAAGAAGCACCGGCUAACUACGUG